rnacentral:rRNA from 1 species
CUUACACUCAGGUAUGAGCAGAAUCUCUCCAAAUUAAAUCAAUUUUACAAACAAAGGGCAAAGAAGCCUUGGGCUAAGGAUGGAGACAGAAAUACUAGAUUUUUCCAUCAAGCUGUUUUAAAGAGAAGAAAGAGGAACACUAUUGUUUCCAUUAAGGAUGAAAAUGAUGUUAUCCAUUUUAAGCCAACUCAAGUUGCUAACACUUUUGUGAAUUAUUUCAGCAAUUUGGGCAGGCCUUUUCUUCCAACUCAGCCUCUGAUACAAUCAGAUGAUUUCACCUACUCCAUUCCAGAUAAACAAGAAAUCUUGCAGAUUCUGAAGGAUAUGAAGCUAAAUGCAUCGCCGGGCCCAAAUGGCUUCAAUGUGGAGUUUUACCUUGCUUCUUGGGACUGGAUUGGCGAUGAAGUCAUUGAUUUGGUAAUCAGCUUCUACAAAUCAGGUAUACCUCCUCAUAUUAGUGAUACUAAUAUUGCUCUCAUUCCUAAGAAGCUAGCUCCUCAAGUUCCCAUGGAUUUUAGACCU